rnacentral:sRNA from 1 species
GUGUUCGGCCAAGAACCUGAGGAACAUCUCAGAGCUGUUCUACUACGCCCAGAAGGCCGUCCUGCAUCCCACAGCCCCCCUCUAUGACCCUGAGGCCAAGCAGGCGCUGACGCGCAUCUUCAGGCUCUCAGAUCAGGACCUGGACCAGGCGCUCAGUGACGAAGAGCUCAACGCUUUCCAGAAAUCCUGCUUUGGGCACCCCCUGGCCCCGCAGGCCCUGGAGGACGUGAAGACGGUGGUGUGCAGGAACGUGGCGGGCGGCGUGCGGGAGGACCGGCUGACCCUGGAUGCGCGGCCGGCACGAGACCACCUGGACCAUCCUGCGGCGCUUCGGCUACAGCGACGCCCUGGAGCUGACUGCGGACUAUCUCUCCCCUCCGCUCCGCGUGCCCCCCGGCUGCAGCACGGAGCUCAACCACCUUGGCUACCAGUUUGUGCAGAGAGUGUUUGAGAAGCACGACCAGGUGAGAGCAUGGCGAGUCCCCUGCCCCUGCCCCCGCCCCCUCCCCGGCACACACAUCACCACAUCCCUCCUUCUGCAGGACCGCGAUGGCGCCCUCUCGCCCGUGGAGCUGCAAAGCCUUUUCAGUGUGUUCCCAGCAGCCCCCUGGGGCCCCGAGCUCCCACGCACAGUCCGCACAGAGGCCGGCCGGUUGCCCCUGCACGGAUACCUCUGCCAGUGGACCCUGGUGACCUACCUGGACGUCCGGAGCUGCCUUGGACACCUAGGCUACCUGGGCUACCCCACCCUCUGUGAGCAGGACUCCCAGGCCCAUGCCAUCACAGGUAGGCACCCACCCUCCCUGGGCCUGGGCCCAGCAUCCUGGCAGCUGCCCUAACCCGUGUCUAUCCUCACAGUCACCCGUGAGAAGAGGCUGGACCAGGAGAAGGGACAGACGCAGCGGAGCGUCCUCCUGUGCAAGGUGGUGGGGGCCCGUGGAGUGGGCAAGUCUGCCUUCCUGCAGGCCUUCCUCGGCCGCGGCCUGGGGGUAAGCACCCUAGACUCCCCCACCACCCCAGGGGCUCCAGGGGCAGGGCAGGGCAAUCUGGGGGGGCACUGCAGCCAGCGAGUGUCAGGACUUCACCUCCCUCAGCACCAGGACACGAGGGAGCAGCCUCCCGGCUACGCCAUCGACACGGUGCAGGUCAACGGGCAGGAGAAGUACUUGAUCCUCUGUGAGGUGGGCACAGAUGGUCUGCUGGCCACAUCGCUGGACGCCACCUGUGACGUUGCCUGCUUGAUGUUUGAUGGCAGUGACCCAAAGUCCUUUGCACAUUGUGCCAGCGUCUACAAGCACCAUUACAUGGACGGGCAGACCCCCUGCCUCUUUGUCUCCUCCAAGGCCGACCUGCCCGAAGGUGUUGUGGUGUCUGGCCCAUCACCAGCCGAGUUUUGCCGCAAGCACCGGCUACCCGCUCCCGUGCCG